rnacentral:ncRNA from 1 species
UAAAAGGUGUUGAGAAAGAGGAGUACGUCUGUGGCGCUGGCAGAGAGAAAUGUUCGUGGGCUGAGAGACAUUUUCAGAGAGUGCAGAUGGAAGGUAGCUUUUGAACCGGGGGGCUGAAGGUCGAAGAUUGGUAGGUCCUCACGUGUUGUUCGCGUUACAGGACAAUAGAGAUAUGCGCUGUGCGCAUAACGAAGGUGGUACCGUGAUUAUUCGCCCUUCAC